rnacentral:rRNA from 1 species
UACGAAGGGGGCUGGCGUUGCUCGGAAUCACUGGGCGUAAAGCGCACGUAGGCGGAUUGUUAAGUCAGGGGUGAAAUCCUGGAGCUCAACUCCAGAACUGCCUUUGAUACUGGCGAUCUUGAGUCCGGGAGAGGUGAGUGGAACUGCGAGUGUAGAGGUGAAAUUCGUAGAUAUUCGCAAGAACACCAGUGGCGAAGGCGGCUCACUGGCCCGGUACUGACGCUGAGGUGCGAAAGCGUGGGGAGCAAACAGG